rnacentral:rRNA from 1 species
UGGGGAAUUUUGCACAAUGGGGGAAACCCUGAUGCAGCGACGCCGCGUGAUUUAGAAGGCCUUCGGGUUGUAAAAAUCUUUUCUAUGGGAAGAAAAUGACAGUACCAUAGGAAUAAGGACCGGCUAAUUACGUGCCAGCAGCCGCGGUAAUACGUAAGGUCCGAGCGUUGUCCGGAAUCAUUGGGCGUAAAGGGUACGUAGGCGGGUAAGCAAGUUAGAAGUGAAAUCCUAUAGCUCAACUAUAGUAAGCUUUUAAAACUGCUCAUCUUGAGGUAUGGAAGGGAAAGUGGAAUUCCUACUGUAGCGGUGAAAUGCGCAGAUAUUAGGAGGAAUACCGGUGGCGAAGGCGACUUUCUAGCCAUCACCUGACGCUGAGGUACGAAAGCGUGGGUAGCAAACAGG